CACCGCCUGGGGAGUACGACCGCAAGGUUAAAACUCAAAUGAAUUGACGGGGACCCGCACAAGUAGUGGAGCAUGUGGUUUAAUUCGAAGAUACGCGCAGAACCUUACCAACACUUGACAUGUUCGUCGCGACUCCAAGAGAUUGGAGUUUUCGGUUCGGCCGGACGAAACACAGGUGCUGCAUGGCCGUCGUCAGCUCGUGUCGUGAGAUGUUGGGUUAAGUCCCGCAACGAGCGCAACCCUUACUUUUAGUUGCCACCAUCUAGUUGGGCACUCUGAAAGAACUGCCAGUGAUAAGCUGGAGGAAGGUGGGGAUGACGUCAAGUCCUCAUGGCCCUUAUGUGUUGGGCUACACACGUGCUACAAUGGCAUUUACAAUAGGAAGCAAGAUGGUGACAUUAAGCAAAUCCUAAAAAAAUGCCUCAGUUCGGAUUGUACUCUGCAACUCGAGUACGUGAAGCUGGAAUUACUAGUAAUCGCGGAUCAGCGUGCCGCGGUGAAUACGUUCCCGGGUCUUGUACACACCGCCCGUCACACCAUGGGAGUUGGUUCUACCUUAAGGCAAAGCUUAAAACCUUUGACCACGGUAUAGUCAGCGACUGGGGUGAAGUCGUAACAAGGUAGCCGUAGGGGAACCUGCGGCUGGAUUACCUCCUUUCUAAGGAUGAUUAAGGAUUAUUUCUUAAUCUAAAUAUUUAACAGGUUAAUGUUGACCGUCCUCAUUUCUCUUCUUGAAGUAGUGUUUCUCUUUUCUGCAUAGGGCCGGUAGCUCAGUUGGUUAGAGCACACCCUUGAUAAGGGUGGGGUCGAAAGUUCGAGUCUUCCUCGGCCCACCAAUAUUACGGGGGAUUAGCUCAGCUGGGAGAGCGCCUGAUUUGCAUUCAGGAGGUCAGCGGUUCGAUCCCGCUAUCCUCCACCAAAAUUUGAGACAUUCAGCUUUUUUAAAUUGUAAAUAUAAUUAAUAUCAAUAUCUAUAUCCGAUUGUUUUCAGAAAUUUUUUGAAAACAAUCAAAACAAAAAUUUAAUUUAUUACAGAAAAGUUUUUUUCUG
rnacentral:sRNA from 1 species